AGAAACUUAGGUUAAACGUAAACCAAGAGCCUUCAAAGCCCUAAACAGAGAAGAAAAACACCCUCUAGUUUCUG
rnacentral:tRNA from 1 species